CCUGUAGUAGCAUGGGUUUCAGAAGUUCCCAAAAGCCUAGCCAAACCAAAGUCAGAUAAAUAGGCAUUGAAAUCAUCAUCUAGAAGAAUAUUGCUGGGCUUGACAUCGCGAUGAAGUACACGUGGUACACACUGAUCAUGCAGGUAAGCAAGAGCACGAGCAAUAUCCAAAGCAAUCUUGUGAAGUAUCCUCCAAUCCACAGCCCUGGUGGACCUCUCCUGGAUAAAUUUUUCCAGAUUACCACCAGGUAAAUAAUUAUAUACUAGGAACAUUUCUGUUUCACUGGCAUGAUA
rnacentral:misc_RNA from 1 species